CUUGCUAGGAAUGAAGCCGUAAGCAACAUGGUUAAUCAGCUAAGGAAUUUCGUCUCUGGAGUAUCGACGAUUUGGUGGCCUGGAUCAUGGCGGACCGUGGUGACUUGGAGGAUGAAGUUCGCUCUAGGCAUGUGUUUUCUAUCCACACCAACAGGGAAUUUGAGAAAGGAAAGGUUGAGAGGACAAAGUUGGAGAUUGUACUCUAGCAAGAGGAUGGCUACGCACACUCUCUAGUAGGCAACUUGGACAUCCUUUGCGAUGAACUCAAUUGUGCUAAGGAGGGCUCUCGACAACUUCUCAUUAGGACUGCUGAAGUCAGAGCGUGACUCCGUUAAAGCUCAGCUUUCUCUUGCCCGUGGGGAGUUAGAGUCAGAGUGGGGCCGUGCUUGCUCUGAGCUCUCCACUUUCAAGGAGGAGCUAAAUUCUAUCUGUCAGGAGUUGUCUAAUUCCUAGCGGUGUUGCUCUAAGCUAGGGGAGGUGUUGGUGGCUUCAGAGAAAAGCAAGUGGCAAGUUACCCUUGAUCUUUCUAAGGUGCAUGACACUCUAGAGGAACUGACCAAACGGCACAGGGAAUACAAGACAAAUAGAGCCAACGUAGACGAACAAUAGAGGAAGAUUAGCGAAACACUUCUCUACCUGGAUACCCGCCUGAAGGGAAAGACCCAGUAGGUGAAGGCAUUGGAGUUUGUCCGCCUUCACCCUCAGCUGGCGUCGGAGCGUGGAGUCAGGGAUCAUGCUUUUGAUUAUGGGUAUGGGGUUGGCGUGUUGUAGCUUAGAUCGCACUUGGCCAAUCCUAAUUCUAAUUUGAGGCGCUUAGUUUUGGGAUGUUUAAACCUGAUGCAACCUUGUGUCAGUUUGUUGACACCUUUGGUCGGGACACCAUGCCAAAUGCCUUUGACGUUCCUCGUCCAUCUCCACCUUCUGGCGAUCCUAGCUCUUAGCUUUCUGUAAUUGAUGACAUCUACUGCUGCAUUUGUAAUAUCUUUUGUAAAUAAUAUGAACACUUUUG